GGGAAUCUGGGGCUCCCACUGGCAGCAGCCGGCCCGGGGAGUUUGGGGCUCCCGAGCGCGGCGAGGACGCGGUGCCCGGCGGCGGAGCAGCCCGGCGGGGACUCGCUGCAUCUUCCCGGGGCACAGCGGGCGGAUGGAGCGGGGCUGACCGAGGGAAGGGCUCGACAAAAGGAGCCGCGGUUUUACAUCCAGGUUACAGUUAAUACUGGAAGAGUUACCCUGAGCAAGUCCCUGUGUCACUUUAACAGUGGCCUAGGAGAUGCCUGGAAGAUAGUGGGUGCACUGUGACUCCUUCCUGGGAAGAUCUUGUUCCAGGGACAUGGGAUACCAGGAUGCCCUGAACAACAUCCAGUGACUGAUAUAUUUUACAGGAACUGCCUCGCAAUGGGUGUAAAACCUCAAUGCACAUUUCUCUGAAGGUCUUCUGUCCCUCCUGAAGACCUUCAUUUUGGUCAUCCUCAGUCUUUGAACUCCUGGCAUGUUAAAUUUUUGGACAUUAUGAAACACAUCAGGAGUGUCUGUUGAAAUGAAUGAAUGUUCCAGUGGGCAAUGCACACGUGAGAGAAAAUCCUUGAGCGCAGUGGCGGAACACUGCUCGGAGUAUCUGCCUGGAAUACCAAGCUCUGAGUUUGCACAGGCUCGAUGGCAGUUUCAGAGUAACAAAAGGAUAAAUGAUGCUGAUCUUUCUCCACACAAUGACACCUUUAAGAGAGAGUUACAGUCAAAACCACAUGCAUUCAGAUUGUGCAGCGUUGUGUCCGUGAACUUCCAGAGUUUGCAUUAAAAAGUGACAGAACAUCAGAGUGCCAGAAGCUUCUCAUAUUGUGGCCCUGAAGGUAAAAGCAAAACUAUCUUGGUCUGUGUUUGGGAACACUGUACAGAAUCUCUGCA
rnacentral:lncRNA from 1 species